rnacentral:rRNA from 1 species
UACGGGAGAGGCAAGCGUUGUUCGGAAUCACUGGGCUUAAAGCGCGUGUAGGCGGCUGGGUAAGUACCUUGUGAAAUUCCUUCUCUCAAUGGGGGAACUGCUCGGUAUACUGCCCGGCUUGAGGUAGGUAGAGGUGCCUGGAACUCUAGGUGGAGCGGUGAAAUGCGUAGAUAUCUAGAGGAACGCCCGUGGCGAAAGCGGGGCACUGGGCCUGUCCUGACGCUGAGACGCGAAAGCGUGGGGAGCAAAC